CAGCCGCCACGGGAAUACGUAGGUGGCAAGCGUUGUCCGGAAUUAUUGGGCGUAAAGGGCUCGCAGGCGGUUUCUUAAGUCUGAGGUGAAAGCCCCCGGCUCAACCGGGGAGGGUCAUUGGAAACUGGGAAACUUGAGUGCAGAAGAGGAGAGUGGAAUUCCACGUGUAGCGGUGAAAUGCGUAGAGAUGUGGAGGAACACCAGUGGCGAAGGCGACUCUCUGGUCUGUAACUGACGCUGAGGAGCGAAAGCGUGGGGAGCGAACAGGAUUAGAUACCCCGGUAGUCCCUGUCUCUUAUAC
rnacentral:rRNA from 1 species